rnacentral:rRNA from 1 species
AUACGGAGGAUGCGAGCGUUAUCCGGAUUUAUUGGGUUUAAAGGGUGCGUAGGCGGACUGGUAAGUCAGCUGUGAAAGUUUGCGGCUUAACCGUAAAAUUGCAGUUGAUACUGUCAGUCUUGAGUGUGCAUGAGGUGGGCGGAAUUUGUGGUGUAGCGGUGAAAUGCUUAGAUAUCACGAGGAACUCCAAUUGCGAAGGCAGCUCACUGGGGCAUAACUGACGCUGAUGCACGAAGGUGUGGGUAUCAAACAGGAUUAGAUACCCUGGUAGUCCACACAGUAAACUAUGAAUACUCGCUGUUUGCGAUAUACAGUAAGCGGCCAAGCGAAAGCAUUAAGUAUUCCACCUGGGGAGUACGCCGGCAACGGUGAAACUCAAAGGAAUUGGCGGGG